UUAUGGCUCAGGAUGAACGCUGGCGGCGUGCUUAAUACAUGCAAGUCGAACGAAGCACUUUUGACAGAUCCCCUCGGGGGUGAAGAUGAUUGUGACUUAGUGGCGGACGGGUGAGUAACGCGUGGGGAACCUGCCUCGUGCUGGGGGAUAACAGUUUAGAAAUGACUGCUAAUACCGCAUAAGCGCACAGUAAGGCAUCUUACAGUGUGAAAAGAUUUAUCGGCAUGAGAUGGACCCGCGUCUGAUUAGGUAGUUGGCGGGGUAACGGCCCACCAAGCCCGCGAUCAGUAGCCGACUUGAGAGAGUGAUCGGCCACAUUGGGACUGAGACGCGGCCCAGACUCCUACGGGAGGCAGCAGUAGGGAAUAUUGCACAAUGGGGGAAACCCUGAUGCAGCCGACGCCGCGUGAGUGAUGAAGUAUUUCGGUACGUAAAACUCUAUCAGCAGGGAAGAUAAUGACGGUACCUGACUAAGAAGCCCCGGCUAACUACGUGCCAGCAGCAGC
rnacentral:rRNA from 1 species